rnacentral:rRNA from 1 species
AUACAGAGGGUGCGAGCGUUAAUCGGAAUUACUGGGCGUAAAGCGCGCGUAGGCGGCUUAUUAAGUCAGAUGUGAAAUCCCCGGGCUCAACCUGGGAACUGCAUCUGAUACUGGUAAGCUAGAGUUUUGGAGAGGGAAGUAGAAUUUCAGGUGUAGCGGUGAAAUGCAUAGAGAUCUGAAGGAAUACCAGUGGCGAAGGCGACUUCCUGGCCAAAAACUGACGCUGAGGUGCGAAAGCGUGGGUAGCAAACGGAAUUAGAAACCCCAGUAGUCC